UGUACGGAUGAUGUUUUUAAACAACGAAUUUCUUCAACUGAAAGACCAUGUUGAGUAUUCUUCACAGAGCUUUUUAACCCUGACC
rnacentral:snoRNA from 1 species